rnacentral:misc_RNA from 1 species
AACGCACAUUGCGCCCCCUGGCAUUCCGGGGGGCAUGCCUGUCCGAGCGUCAUUUCUGCCCUCCAGCACGGCUGGGUGUUGGGCGCUGUCCCCCCGGGGACACGCCCCAAAGGCAGUGGCGGCGCCGCGUCGGGUCCUCGAGCGUAUGGGGCUCUGUCACCCGCUCGGGAGGGACUCGGUCGGCGCUGGUCUUCCCCCAGGCGGCCCUUUCGGGCUCGUCUCCUUCCGGUUGACCUCGGAUCAGGUAGGGCUACCCGCUGAACUUAA